UACGGGGGGGGUAAGCGUUGUUCGGAAUUACUGGGCGUAAAGGGCUCGUAGGCGGCCAACUAAGUCGGACGUGAAAUCCCCGGGCUCAACCCGGGAACUGCGUCCGAUACUGGAAGGCUUGAAUCCGGGAGAGGGAUGUGGAAUUCCAGGUGUAGCGGUGAAAUGCGUAGAUAUCUGGAGGAACACCGGUGGCGAAGGCGACAUCCUGGACCGGUAUUGACGCUGAGGCGCGAAAGCCAGGGGAGCAAACGGG
rnacentral:rRNA from 1 species